rnacentral:rRNA from 1 species
UACGUAGGGUGCAAGCGUUAAUCGGAAUUACUGGGCGUAAAGGGCGCGUAGGCGGCACAGCAAGUCGGGAGUGAAAGCCCGGGGGCUCAACCCCGGAACUGCUUUCGAAACUGCUGAGCUAGAGUACAGAAGGGGCAACCGGAAUUCCCAGUGUAGCGGUGAAAUGCGUAGAUAUUGGGAAGAACACCUGAGGCGAAGGCGGGUUGCUGGGCUGAUACUGACG